GACGAACGUUGGCGGCGUGCUUAAUACAUGCAAGUCAACUGAAGCAGUGGUAGCAAUAUCGCUGUGGAGGUGGCGCACGGGUGAGUAACACGUAGGUAAUCUGCCUUCAGGUCUGGCAUAACUCCGGGAAACCGGGGCUAAUAGCAGAUGAUGCAGCGGCUCGACAUCGAGACAGUUGUUAAAGCUAUGGCGCCUGAAGAUGAGCCUGCGCCUGAUUAGCUAGUUGGCGGGGUAACGGCCCACCAAGGCAACGAUCAGUAGCUGGUCUGAGAGGAUGAUCAGCCACACUGGAACUGAGACACGGUCCAGACUACUACGGGAGGCAGCAGUAAGGAAUAUUGCUCAAUGGGAGAAAUCCUGAAGCAGCAACGCCGCGUGAGGGACGAAGGGCUUUUGCUUGUAAACCUCUGUAGGGAGAGAAAAAAAUCACAAUCUUUGGGACAUGAUGGUAGCUCAAAAGUAAGCCCCGGCUAACUACGUG
rnacentral:rRNA from 1 species